UACAGAGGGUGCAAGCGUUAAUCGGAGUUACUGGGCGUAAAGGGCGCGUAGGUGGUUAGACAAGUAAGAUGUGAAAUCCCUGGGCUUAACCUAGGAAUUGCAUUUUAAACUGUUUAGCUGGAGUGCAGUAGAGGGUAGUGGAAUUUCCGGUGUAGUGGUGGAAUGCGUAGAUAUCGGGAGGAACACCAGUGGCGAAGGCGGUUACCUGGAGCUUUGCUGACGCUGAUGCGCGAAAGCGUGGGGAGCGAUCCGG
rnacentral:rRNA from 1 species